rnacentral:rRNA from 1 species
CCUACGGGUGGCAGCAGUGAGGAAUAUUGGUCAAUGGGCGAUAGCCUGAACCAGCCAAGUCGCGUGAAGGAUGACGGCCCUAUGGGUUGUAAACCUCUUUUAUCGGGGAACAAAGCGAAUCACGUAUGCCGCUUUGCAGGUACCCUAAGAAAAAGGAUCGGCUAACUCCGUCCCAGCAGCCGCGGUAAUACGGAGGAUCCGAUCGUUAUCCGGAUUUAUUGGGGUUAAAGGGGUCGUAGGCGGGUGUUUAAGUCAGUGGUUAAAUUUCGGGGCGAAACCCCGGACUGGCGUUGAAACUGGGAUCCUUGAGUGCGCGAGAAGUAUGCGGAAUGCGUGGUGUAGCGGUGAAAUGCAUAGAUAGCACGCAGAACUCCGAUUGCGAAGGCAGCAUACCGGCGCGCAACUGACGCUGAUGCACGAAAGCGUGGGUAUCGAACAGGAUUAGAUACCCUUGUAGUC